AGCGCAGGCGGUGCGGCAAGUCUGAUGUGAAAGCCCGGGGCUCAACCCCGGUACUGCAUUGGAAACUGUCAUACUUGAGUGCCGGAGGGGUAAGCGGAAUUCCUAGUGUAGCGGUGAAAUGCGUAGAUAUUAGGAGGAACACCAGUGGCGAAGGCGGCUUACUGGACGGUAACUGACGUUGAGGCUCGAAAGCGUGGGGAGCAAACA
rnacentral:rRNA from 1 species